GAGUUCUACAAGGGCAACUCUGAGACUCAGGAGAGAAAUCUGGCAGGUAGGACUGCCACCUCCUGGACUGGGAAGACCAGGAUCUCUUCUCGAUCAUCCCAGGCUGCAGGACAAAGAAUAAUGGGCUCAAGUUGGAGGAAGCCAGAUUUUGGCUGAACAUCAGGAAAAACGUCCUAACUGUCAGAGCGGGACAACCAUGGGACCCAUGACCUAGGGAGGUGGUGGGCUCUCCAACACUGGAGGCAUUCAAUGGUUCCAGGCUAUGGUCUGAAGGCCAACUCCCUGCUGAAGCUAAGCAGGAUCAGGUCUGGUCAGUGCCUGGAUGGGAGACUUCCUGGGAAACAUACACCUGCUGGGUCAGGCCAAAGGGGACCUGUGUAGUCCAUCCUCCUCAGAAUGGCCAACCGGAUGCCCCAAUGGGAAGCCUGCAAGCAGGACCGGAGAGAUUUAUCACAGGGAUAUGUGCAAUAUAUGCAAGAGCGACUCUCUCCUCCUGCGGUUUCCAGCAAGUAGAGUUCA